rnacentral:rRNA from 1 species
GUGGGGGAUAUUGCGCAAUGGGGGAAACCCUGACGCAGCAACGCCGCGUGAAGGAAGAAGGCCUUCGGGUUGUAAACUUCUUUAAGUGUGGAAGAUAAUGACGGUACACACAGAAUAAGCCACGGCUAACUACGUGCCAGCAGCCGCGGUAAUACGUAGGUGGCAAGCGUUGUCCGGAUUUACUGGGUGUAAAGGGCGUGUAGGCGGGUAGACAAGUCAGAUGUGAAAUACCGGGGCUCAACUCCGGGGCUGCAUUUGAAACUGUAUAUCUUGAGUGUCGGAGAGGAAAGCGGAAUUCCUAGUGUAGCGGUGAAAUGCGUAGAUAUUAGGAGGAACACCAGUGGCGAAGGCGGCUUUCUGGACGAUAACUGACGCUGAGGCGCGAAAGCGUGGGGAGCAAACAGGAUUAGAAACCCGGGUAGUCC